rnacentral:rRNA from 1 species
AGAGGUCCCGCCUGCCCAGUGACAACUAGUUCAACGGCCGCGGUAUUUUGACCGUGCAAAGGUAGCGUAAUCACUUGUCUUUUAAAUGAAGACCUGUAUGAAUGGCAUAACGAGGGCUUAGCUGUCUCCUCUAUCCAGUCAAUGAAAUUGAUCUCCCCGUGCAGAAGCGGGGGUAAAACCAUAAGACGAGAAGACCCUAUGGAGCUUUAGACACUAAGGCAGAUCACGUUAAACAACUCCCAAUAAGGAACAAAACUGAAUGAGUCCUGCUUAAAUGUCUUCGGUUGGGGCGACCAUGGGGAAAUAAAAAACCCCCACGUGGACUGGGAGCACCUUCCCCCUCUUCCCUCCUCCCAAAACUGAGAGCUACCGCUCUAAUUAACAGAAAUUCUGACCAAAAAUGAUCCGGCAACGCCGAUCAACGGACCAAGUUACCCUAGGGAUAACAGCGCAAUCCCCUUUUAGAGCCCAUAUCGACAAGAGGGUUUACGACCUCGAUGUUGGAUCAGGACAUCCUAAUGGUGCAGCCGCUAUUAAGGGUUCGUUUGUUCAACGAUUAAAGUCCUACGUGAUCUGAGUUCAGACCGGA